CAGACUGCAGGUAAAGUGUCAUUGUAGAUUAAUCUGUGUAGUCUGAACAGACUGCAGGUAAAGUGUCAUUGUAGAUUAAUCUGUGUAGUCUGAACAGACUGCAGGUAAAGUGUCACUGUAGAUUAAUCUGUGUAGUCUGAACAGACUGCAGAGACGACACUUUCCGCCUAAACUGGAUUUUGGCAGAUAAAAGACUUUGUUGAAGCAAAAUUAUUAAUAAAAGCGCAAAGUGUGAUUCCAGAUUAGCCUGCGCAGACUGCAAAGGCUUAUCUUAGAUGACACUUUACCAACAUUAAUUCAGCCCAUUUUUUGCAU